rnacentral:rRNA from 1 species
UAGGGAAUCUUCCGCAAUGGGCGAAAGCCUGACGGAGCAACGCCGCGUGAGUGAUGAAGGCCCUCGGAUCGUAAAACUCUGUUAUUAGGGAAGAACAAAUGUGUAAGUAACUAUGCACGUCUUGACGGUACCUAAUCAGAAAGCCACGGCUAACUACGUGCCAGUAGCCGCGGUAAUACGUAGGUGGCAAGCGUUAUCCGGAAUUAUUGGGCGUAAAGCGCGCGUAGGCGGUUUUUUAAGUCUGAUGUGAAAGCCCACGGCUCAACCGUGGAGGGUCAUUGGAAACUGGAAAACUUGAGUGCAGAAAAGGAAAGUGGAAUUCCAUGUGUAGCGGUGAAAUGCGAAGAGAUAUGGAGGAACACCAGUGGCGAAGGCGACUUUCUGGUCUGUAACUGACGCUGAUGUGCGAAAGCGUGGGGAUCAAACAGG